rnacentral:rRNA from 1 species
GCAUAUCAAUAAGCGGAGGAAAAAGAAACCAACAGGGAUUGCCCCAGUAACGGCGUAAGUGAAGCGGCAACAGCUCAAAUUUGAAAUCUGGCCUCGGCCCGAGUUUGUAAUUUGCAGAGGAUGCUUCUGGCGCGGCGCCUUCCGAGUUCCCUGGAACGGGACGCCACAGAGGGUGAGAGCCCCGUAUGGUCGGACGCCAAGCCAGUGUGAAGCUCCUUCGAAGAGUCGAGUAGUUUGGGAAUGCUGCUCUAAGCGGGAGGUAUACGUCUUCUAAAGCUAAAUACCGGCCAGAGACCGAUAGCGCACAAGUAGAGUGAUCGAAAGAUGAAAAGCACCUUGAAAAGGGGGUUAAACAGUACGUGAAAUUGUUGAAAGGGAAGCGCCUGUGACCAGACUUGCGCCGGGCGGAUCAUCCAGCGUUCUCGCUGGUGCGCUCCGCCCGGCUCAGGCCAGCAUCGGUUCUGGCGGGGGGAUAAAGGCGGCGGGAACGUGGCUCCCCCGGGAGUGUUAUAGCCCGCCGUGCAAUGCCCCCGCCGGGACCGAGGUUCGCGCAUCUGCAAGGAUGCUGGCGUAAUGGUCACCAGCGACCCGUCUUGAAACACGGACCAAGGAGUCGUCCAUUACGGCGAGCGUUUGGGUGUAAAACCCCUGCGCGGAAUGAAAGUAAACGUAGGUGAGAGCUUCGGCGCAUCAUCGACCGAUCCUGAUGUACUCGGAUGGAUUUGAGUAAGAGUCGUACCGGACGGACCCGAAAGAUGGUGAACUAUGCCUGUAUAGGGUGAAGCCAGAGGAAACUCUGGUGGAGGCUCGCAGCGGUUCUGACGUGCAAAUCGAUCGUCAAAUAUGGGCAUGGGGGGCGAAAGACUAAUCGAACCAUCUAGUAGCUGGUUACCGCCGA